AGAAUCAACGCUGGCGGCGUGCCUAACACAUGCAAGUCGAACGAGAAAGUGGAGCAAUCCAUGAGUAAAGUGGCGACCGGGUGAGUAACACGUGACUAACCUACCCUCGAGUGGGGAAUAACAUCGGGAAACCGAUGCUAAUACCGCAUAACAUCGCAAGAUCAAAGCAGCAAUGCGCUUGAGGAGGGGGUCGCGGCUGAUUAGCUAGUUGGUAGGGUAAUGGCCUACCAAGGCUUAGAUCGGUAGCCGGCCUGAGAGGGCGCACGGCCACACUGGAACUGAAACACGGUCCAGACUCCUACGGAGGCAGCAGUGGGGAAUUUUGCGCAAUGGGGGAAACCCUGACGCAGCAACGCCGCGUGGAGGAUGAAGUCCCUUGGGACGUAAACUCCUUUCGAUCGGGAAGAUACUGACGGUACCGGAAGGAAGAAGCACCGGCUAACUCUGCGCCAGCAGCCGC
rnacentral:rRNA from 1 species